rnacentral:ncRNA from 1 species
UUCCAUAGGGGUGCCUUGCUUGAGAGGCUGAGAGGUCGUUAAGCGCAAAAGCGCUGGCACGACAACCCUUCGCACCUGAACCGGGUCAUGCCGGCGUAGGAAAUGGGUU